rnacentral:rRNA from 1 species
CCUACGUGUGGCAGCAGUGGGGAAUAUUGGGCAAUGGGCGAAAGCCUGACCCAGCAACGCCGCGUGAAGGAAGAAGGCUUUCGGGUUGUAAACUUCUUUUCUCAGGGACGAAGCAAGUGACGGUACCUGAGGAAUAAGCCACGGCUAACUACGUGCCAGCAGCCGCGGUAAUACGUAGGGGGCAAGCGUCAUCCGGAUUUACUGGGUGUAAAGGGGGAGCAGACGGCACUGCAAGCCAGGAGUGAAAGCCCGGGGCCCAACCCCGGGACUGCUCUUGAAACUGUAUGGCUGGAGUACAGGAGGGGCAGGCGGAAUUCCUAGGGUAGCGGUGAAAUGCGUAGAUAUUAGGAGGAACACCAGUGGCGAAGGCGGCCUGCUGGACUGUGACUGACGUUGAGGCCCGAAGGCGUGGGGAGCAAACAGGAUUAGAUACCCCGGUAGUC